AACGAACGCUGGCGGCAGGCUUAACACAUGCAAGUCGAACGGGUGUAGCAAUACAUCAGUGGCAGACGGGUGAGUAACACGUGGGAACCUUCCUAGGGGUACGGAACAACUCAGGGAAACUUGAGCUAAUACCGUAUACGUCCGUGAGGAGAAAGAUUUAUCGCCCUUAGACGGGCCCGCGUCGGAUUAGGUAGUUGGUGGGGUAACGGCCUACCAAGCCUACGAUCCGUAGCUGAUCUUAGAGGAUGAUCAGCCACACUGGGACUGAGACACGGCCCAGACUCCUACGGGAGGCAGCCGUGGGGAAUCUUGGACAAUGGGCGCAGGCCUGAUCCAGCCAUGCCGCGUGAGUGAAGGAGGCCUUAGGGUUGUAAAGCUCUUUUACCAGGGACGAUAAUGACGGUACCUGGAGAAUAAGCCCCGGCAAACUUCGUGCCAGCAGCCGCCGUAAGAC
rnacentral:rRNA from 1 species